AAUGACCUUUUUUUAGUAAUUUUUAAUCUAUUUGUACAAAAUUUUAUAAAAGUGAUUUUUUAAACUACAAAAUUAUCAUAAAAGAUAUGACUUUUUUAAAUACAUUAAUCUCUCUUUUCUAAAAUUAACAUAAACAUACUAUUCAUAGUCAAUAAGACAAUAAUAUUUGUAGAAUCUUUGCUAUGUUAGGUGUCAAUAUUUAAAAUAUUCGUCGUAAAAUUUACAAUAAUAAAAUAAUAAAAUAUUUUAAACUAAAUACUUCAAAAUUUAUUAGUUUAAUCUAUUUCUUACUGAUUUUAAAAUUGAUUAAUAUAUUUAAGUACUCAUAAAAAAACACACACAAAAUCAAAAAUAAAUUUGUAUAACAUAUAAAUAAUGUAAAAAUAAAAUAAUUCAAAUAAAAUAUAUAUAAACAACAACAAAACGAUGUGAAGAAAUAAAAAAUGAGAAGAAAAAAAAAACCUAGAUCAGAGUCACAAAGAAAGACAAAAACGGCCACACGUGAGUACGUGGCGGAGAAUAUGUGAAUUGAUGAAAAGAUUGAUGGAGAAAACCUUAUUAAACAUUAAUGAAGGACAAUUUCAUAUUUUUUAAAAAAGAUAAGAGUAAUUACAUCAUUUUCUUCUAUUAGUGACUUAAGUAUAGUGUUUUUAAAUUUUGUGACAUUUAUUUCUCUCGUCUAUAAAAUAAGACAAAUAUAAAAAACUACUAUUUUUCAUUUUUCAUUUUUAUCUAAAAAGUAAUUUUUUAAUAAAAUAAUUUUUCAAAAAUUUAAAACAGACGCUCUAUUAUUUUGCCUCUUUUAAAUUUGUGAAAAUAAAUAAAUAAAAAUUAUAAAAAUGUUGUUGUGAAUCAACCCUGAAGAGAGAAAAAAUAAAACAAAUAAGUUCAAUCUCCUAAAAUGGUGUUUAGUCGCAUAAUAAGUGACAAAACUAUGUUCAAAUUAUAAAUAUGAAGAGUGUGAGAUUAUACUUAGAAAACUUGGAACAAAGGCUAAAAGUUAUGGGAUCAAAGUUUCAACACGAUCUGAAAUUCUAACAGCACAACGAUUUCACUGGUUUAGAAGUAAAAAUGAUUUAUAGAUAUUUAAGUUGGUUUAGAGUUGAUAUAAAAUGGAGCAAGAGAUUCAAAGUUUAGUUGGACAUAGUUUGGAUAAGGUUUCCCACGAG
rnacentral:lncRNA from 1 species